rnacentral:rRNA from 1 species
UUGACCUCGGAUCAGGUAGGGAUACCCGCUGAACUUAAGCAUAUCAAUAAGCGGAGGAAAUUUGU